UUGCGGCCGGGAGGUUGCCACCCCGUUCCUAGCGUUGCGUGCGGUGACUUCUCGUGGCUUGCAUCGUCUGGAUCUGCUGUCGCCCGGAGCUUGCUGCUCGUGGUGCAUGAUGAUAGCCCGUCGACGAGGUGGCGGUUCGAGAGCUUCCAAUGCCAAGGUUCCAUCCGUCAAGAUUCACAGGAUUUCUCUUCCCCAUCCCCUCUUCGUAGAGGCAACCGGAUGGGGAUUGCCGGUUUGUCGAGCGUGCUGCACGCCGAAGGAGGCCCAAGGUUGCAUUCGUCACGGCAUUAUCGCAGCUCCCUGUCGAUGUGCAACUUCUCUGUUGUGUGGUUUCAAUAUGAAGAUUGUAGCCCUAGUGCAGUUUUCCGUUCAUUGGAAACAGAUGGUUUUAUGCUCUCUUUAUCUGUUUGGCAAUGUACUGGGAUUUAUUCCAGUGAACUCUGUCGUUUUAUAUUAAUGGAGGUUUAAGUUUAAAAAAAAAACAACCCAGCCGACUGCAUAUGCACGCCUGUAUUGUAACGAUUUAAUUUUUUUCCUUUCUUCCUUUCUUUCUAUGCACCUUGCAACAUACUAAGAGCAAGCUAACAG